GAUGAACGCUGGCGGCGUGCCUAAUACAUGCAAGUCGAGCGAACGGACGAGUAGCUUGCUUCUCUGAUGUUAGCGGCGGACGGGUGAGUAACACGUGGAUAACCUACCUAUAAGACUGGGAUAACUUCGGGAAACCGGAGCUAAUACCGGAUAAUAUUUUGAACCGCAUGGUUCAAAAGUGAAAGACGGUCUUGCUGUCACUUAUAGAUGGAUCCGCGCUGCAUUAGCUAGUUGGUAAGGUAACGGCUUACCAAGGCAACGAUGCAUAGCCGACCUGAGAGGGUGAUCGGCCACACUGGAACUGAGACACGGUCCAGACUCCUACGGGAGGCAGCAGUAGGGAAUCUUCCGCAAUGGGCGAAAGCCUGACGGAGCAACGCCGCGUGAGUGAUGAAGGUCUUCGGAUCGUAAAACUCUGUUAUUAGGGAGGAACAUAUGUGUAAGUAACUGUGCACAUCUUGACGGUACCUAAUCAGAAAGCCACGGCUAACUACGUG
rnacentral:rRNA from 1 species